AGUUUGAUCCUGGCUCAGGACGAACGCUGGCGGCAGGCUUAACACAUGCAAGUCGCACGAGAACGUUCUGGCUUUGCCAGAACAAGUGCAGUGGCGGACGGGUGCGUAACGCGUAGAUAACCUGCCCUCAGGCGUGGGACAAUCACGGGAAACCGUGGCUAAUACCGCACGUCGUCUGGAUCCCGCAUGGGAACUAGAUGAAAGCCUUCGGGCGCCUUUGGAUGGGUCUGCGUCGGAUUAGCUUGUUGGUGAGGUAACGGCUCACCAAGGUGACGAUCCGUAGCUGGUCUGAGAGGAUGAUCAGCCACACUGGGACUGAGACACGGCCCAGACUCCUACGGGAGGCAGCAGUGGGGAAUCUUGCACAAUGGGGGAAACCCUGAUGCAGCCAUGCCGCGUGGAGGAAGACACCCCUAUGGGGCGUAAACUCCUUUUCUGCGCGAAGAAACCCCUGUUGUUCAGGGCGUGACGGUACCGCAGGAAUAAGGACCGGCUAACUCCGUGCCAGCAGCCGCGGUAAUACGGAGGGUCCAAGCGUUGUCCGGAAUCACUGGGCGUAAAGGGUGUGCAGGUGGGGCAGCAAGUCAGAGGUGAAAGCCCGCGGCUUAACCGCGGAAGUGCCUUUGAAACUGUUGCUCUUGAGUCCCGGAGAGGCUGCCGGAAUUCGUGGUGUAGCGGU
rnacentral:rRNA from 1 species